GACGAAGGUGGCGAGCGUUGUUCGGAAUCACUGGGCAUAAAGCGCACGUAGGCGGCGGCGUAAGUCGGAUGUGAAAUCCCUCGGCCUAACCGAGGAACUGCGUCCGAUACUGCGUUGCUUGAGGACCAGAGGGGUGCAUGGAAUUUCCGGUGGAGCGGUGAAAUGCGUUGAUAUCGGAAGGAACGUCGGCGGCGAAGGCGGGUUGCUGGGCUGAUACUGACGCUGAGGCGCGAAAGCCAGGGGAGCGAACGGGG
rnacentral:rRNA from 1 species